rnacentral:rRNA from 1 species
CAUGUGACUUACCUUUUGUUGCCUCGGCAGAAGUUAUAGGUCUUCUUAUAGCUGCUGCCGGUGGACCAUUAAACUCUUGUUAUUUUAUGUAAUCUGAGCGUCUUAUUUUAAUAAGUCAAAACUUUCAACAACGGAUCUCUUGGUUCUGGCAUCGAUGAAGAACGCAGCGAAAUGCGAUAAGUAAUGUGAAUUGCAGAAUUCAGUGAAUCAUCGAAUCUUUGAACGCACAUUGCGCCCAUUAGUAUUCUAGUGGGCAUGCCUGUUCGAGCGUCAUUUCAACCCUUAAGCCUAGCUUAGUGUUGGGAAUCUACUUCUCUUAGGAGUUGUAGUUCCUGAAAUACAACGGCGGAUUUGUAGUAUCCUCUGAGCGUAGUAAUUUUUUUCUCGCUUUUGUUAGGUGCUAUAACUCCCAGCCGCUAAACCCCCAAUUUUUUGUGGUUGACCUCGGAUCAGGU